rnacentral:rRNA from 1 species
GACGAACGCUGGCGGCGUGCUUAACACAUGCAAGUCGAACGGAAAGGCCCUGCUUUUGUGGGGUGCUCGAGUGGCGAACGGGUGAGUAACACGUGAGUAACCUGCCCUUGACUUUGGGAUAACUUCAGGAAACUGGGGCUAAUACCGGAUAGGAGCUCCUGCUGCAUGGUGGGGGUUGGAAAGUUUCGGCGGUUGGGGAUGGACUCGCGGCUUAUCAGCUUGUUGGUGGGGUAGUGGCUUACCAAGGCUUUGACGGGUAGCCGGCCUGAGAGGGUGACCGGCCACAUUGGGACUGAGAUACGGCCCAGACUCCUACGGGAGGCAGCAGUGGAGAAUAUUGCACAAUAGGCGGAAGCCUGAUGCAGCAACGCCGCGUGCGGGAUGACGGCCUUCGGGUUGUAAACCGCUUUCGCCUGUGAUGAAGCGUGAGUGACGGUAAUGGGUAAAGAAGCACCGGCUAACUACGUG